GUGGGCAUCAGGGAAGGGGCUGGGGUCCCAGCCCCAAGGGGGCUCCUGCAAACGGAAAAUGGAAAGAAAGUUCUCUUUUCUCCAUCUCCCCUCGGAAGAGGUUUCCGGGAUUCAUGCCUUCGAGGAGAUCUUAGAUUUAGAGCCCUAAGGUAUGGUUGAGCUGGUGAUACUCUUGGCUUCCUGAUUGGUGCAGAUGGCACCCACAUUCCUCCGAGUUGCAAAGAUGAGCAGGAGAAAGAAUUCUUGCUGAGGGGCCAGUCUCUUGACUGGAAUGUUGUGGCCAGCGCCUCAAGGUGCUUCUCUUAUUCUCUGCUCAUUCCUCAGGACUGGAUGCAGGAGGACCUGACAACGUCUUGUUCUCAGUGGUCUUGCCGAAAAAGAUUGUUCCUGGGGUAAACCACUCAAUGCCUUAUUUCUCCCAAUAAAAUAUUAUAUACACA
rnacentral:lncRNA from 1 species